rfam:Picea glauca, whole genome shotgun sequence.
ACAUGCCUACAACAUAGCUUUAAUGCAUCAUAUCCCAUUAGAACUACGCAACUAAGAGUGCUUGGGCUAGAGUAGUACUGGGAUGGGUAACCACCCGAGAAGUGCUAGUAUUUUACAUGCC